ACAGAAACACAGAGUCACAGGGGGUGGAGGGGGGCCCCCCAACGCUGCCUUGCUGUUGGGGAUGGGAGCUCCAUCCUCCUCCUCUGUGGUGGUUUCCGGGAAGUAGAGGAAGAGCAGCAAAAUGGGGGUGGCCAGAGACACCAAAUAUAGGAGGAGCAUCUGGGGUGACUGGGGGGGAGGAGGGAGCAAGGGAGGGGAGGUUGAGAUGGGCUGAGGCUGAGAGGCACAAGGCAGGUCAAACACGGGGGGGGGGGGGAACCAGGUCAAACGCGGGGAGGGAGCAGAUAUAAAACACGGGGGGCAGGUCAAACACGGGGAAAGGGGCAGAUAAAACACGGGGAAGGGGGCAGAUAAAACACGGGGGGCAGGUCAAACACGGGGAAGGGACCAGAUAAAACACGGGGGGCAGGUCAAACACGGGGAAGGGGGCAAAUAAAACACGGGGGACAGGUCAAACACGGGGAAGGGAGCAGAUAAAACACGGGGGGCAGGUCAAACACGGGGAAAGGGGCAGAUAAAACACGGGGAAGGGGGCAGAUAAAACACGGGGGGCAGGCCAAACACGGGGAAGGGAGCAGAUAAAACACGGGGGGCAGGUCAAACACGGGGAAGGGAGCAGAUAAAACACGGGGGGCAGGUCAAACACGGGGAAAGGGGCAGAUAAAACACGGGGAAGGGGGCAGAUAAAACACGGGGGGCAGGUCAAACACGGGGAGGGAGCAGGUGAAACACGGGGAAGGGGGCAGAUAAAACACGGGGGGCAGGUCAAACACGGGGAGGGAGCAGGUGAAACACGGGGAAGGGGGCAGAUAAAACACGGGGGGCAGGUCAAACACGGGGAGGGAGCAGAUAAAACACGGGGGGCAGGUCAAACACAGGGGGGCAGGUCAAACACGGGGAGGGAGCAGAUAAAACACGGGGGGCAGGUCAAACACGGGGAGGGAGCAGGUGAAACACGGGGAAGGGGACAGAUAAAACACGGGGGGCAGGUCAAACACGGGGAAGGGAGCAGAUAAAACACGGGGGGGGCAGGUCAAACACGGGGGGGGCAGGUCAAACACGGGGAGGGAGCAGAUAAAACACAGGAGGCAGGUCAAACACGGGGAGGGAGCAGAUAAAACACGGGGGGCAGGUCAAACACGGGGGGGGCAGGUCAAACACGGGGAGGAGGGCAAGGACAGGAAGGAGCUAGGCAGAGGAUCCAGUUGGCCCCAUCUGCUCUGGCCAAUAUUUGUGCUCAGUGAAUGGAUCUUGGCAUCGUAGGAAAGGGAAGGUGAGCCCCUGAAGACAUCCCCCCACCCGAGCCCCUCCAGACCCUCCCCAACUCUCCCCAUUCCACCCCACUCCCUGGAGGGUGAACCAGGGGCCACAUGACAGGCAGAGUGAGCAGGGUCAGGAUUUGGGGACCCAGCAGGGAAGAAGGUCAAGAAAGGGGAGGGAGACAGGGAAGGGUGUGGAGGGCACAGAUGGAGAUGGAGAUGAAGAGGAGGCCGGGGAAGAUGGCACAAGGAGGCUGAGGAGUCGGUGGGGGAGCACUACAUGAAGAGAGGAUCCGAGAAAGGGGUACUGGGGGGGUAGCAGGAAAGGCUGGAGGUGGUAAGUCACUGGGGCGAGGUUAGCGGAAGGGGAGCUCGUUAGUUGUGGGCUCCGUGAGUGUGGGAGAUGAGCUGUGGGGCCGGGCCUGUGGUGCUCAGUGAGGGGGGCGGGGGUCAGGACAUGAGUCGGGUGGGAGGAGCGGUGAUGGCCAGGGCCUGGCAGCUGGUCAGUCAGGAGACGAUGGGUGUUAGUCAGGGAGGAGCUGGUCCCAGGGGGUGAGAGAGGAGCCUGGACAGCCAGCCAGGGGUC